AUGAUAUAUUAUUACAGUGAUGAAUCCGAGUGCAUUUGGCUCUAGACUUUCUGUCGAUGUGGAAAAAACCUAGCUACCUUAUUUAUUUUUGUCUGAAA
rnacentral:snoRNA from 1 species